AUUGAAAGCUGCUUGCCUAGAAGAACAACUGCUCUUGAGAACUCUUGAGAGCAUGUGAAGAAAUCUGGAGUUGAUUUGUGUAAGAGGGAGGAACAAUCUGUUUCACUUCACCAGCAUCGUGCAGUUUCGAUGUUACAACAUCCACUUGUUAGAGAAGCUCUGUACAAAAGCUAAUGUUUCUUCAUGGCUAGAGGUGGGCUGAGGUUCCUUCAUCAGUUAAUUUCUGAAUGUUGGGUGUCUGAAGAACACUUCUGGAAACCAGAUUUGCAGGAGGGGAGAGCAAAAUACUUCAUGUUUCAGAAGAACCUAGACAGAUUUUUCCAAAUGCGUCUCUACUUGUUUGUCAUUCACACUGACGUAUGGACCCCCUUCCCUCCCCUCUUUUUGGUAAAGUGACAGUGAGAUUCAGAUGCCUAUACGAGAGCUUGCAGCAGCUGUUUUGGAUGUCCUCAAGAUGUAAGAAGGUCCCAGCAGAGCAGGCCGAUGUGAUGGAGGAUGAAAGAAAAUUGACCUUCUGGAGAUUUGAUUGGGCACCAAGCAGGACAACAUGAGCUAUGAAUAGAUAAAGCAGCCUGCAAGCUUCUGACCAUACUGUAUCACGGGAGGAUAACUGCCUUGCAUGGGAAAUCAAUGAUGCUGUAGCACUGCACUUUUGCUUUGGAGGAACACUGCUGGAAGCACCUAAGAUUCAUAUUGCUCACUGCCUUUCUUUCCUCACUCCAGAUAUGUCUCUUAAUUUUCCACCACUAGGUAAAUAAUAAAGGACCUGCAUAUAACAGAGAUUUAAUAAAUAGCAAAGAUGUGGGAUAUAUGAAAGAUUGAGUGCAAAAAAAAAAAAGAUUCUGGAUCUGUUCAAUUAGUUUGAUUAUAUUUUAUUAGAAAGCUCAGCCAAUACAAAUGAUUCUUGUUCACUACCAGCCAGUUUAAAGUGUGGUGUUUCAUUGUAAUUCAUAUAGAUGUUUUCUGUCCAGUUAAAUAUAAACUCCUUGGGUAAGUACUGCUACUUUUCGUGUAUUGAAUGUUAAGAAGCAUAAGCAGCACCAGCAAUGCUUCAGUGUAAGUCAAUAUACAUACACGUUUACAUUUCAGACAUUAAAAGGAAAAAUUAAAUUAAUGUACCAGUUGCAUUUUAAGCUCUACUUGCUUUUAGUAGUAAUUGAGAUGAAUGGUUAAUUUAAAUCUAUUUCCAAAGUUAAGGCUGAAAGCAUUUCAUUUAUAUUCAACAAUAACCAACAUAGUAUGGCAUUUUACCAAAACAUGGGACACCUCAAAAACAGAAGACUUAUUCGAUUUCUUGUUGACAGAAUUGACAGCUCUUUGCUACUGUUGUUGCCAAAAUGAAUAUGCUAAUUUACUUUUUAAUUCUGUAGCAAGUGUGAAAAUACUCCACUGUGAAAAAUAAAAAUACUUUUUUAUUAUGUAUCUUAAACGGAAAUGUCUUCGAACAUUGUAUUUUUAGUUAUACAUAGUGAAUAAAAAAGCUGCUGGUGGCAGUAUUUUUAAGUAGCUGACUUCAUCACUUAAUUAAAUGCAGAACAGUAUUCUGGAUAAGUUUAAAGUAGAUAGCUAACGUAAAUCAGAUGAUAAAACUGGCGUGCAUGAAACAAAUAAUGGCUAAGGCAUCUUAAUAUUCUCAAUUUCUAUAUAUCUUAUUGUAAUCUUAACUUGAGCAUGUGUUAAAUGCACAGACAUAUUCAGCAAUGGUCUUCUCGGAGCCUCCACAGAGCUAGGCAGCACAUAGUCACCACUGCUCUCACUUCUGUAAUCCGCAGCACAGGCAGGCUACGUGUUGUUUUCAUAUAGGAGUUCUCCAGAAGAGACAAACCAGAAGCCAUUUGAAAUUCUGCCCUACUGAAACCUGCAGUUGUAUUGCUACCGUAGUACUUCUGUGGCUUUAUGGAUGGAAAACAGAAUACGUACCACUCUGACUAAACCUAUGGGACUGGAAACAUUAGAAGUGCACAUGCUGUAUUUCAAGAGAGUCUUUUUCUUUUAAUGAACAAGUACGAAUAUUGAUUACCCAAACAGCAAAAUGUACAAAACAAUGCAUGUGUUUGCAAGUUAGAAGAUAGAGGAAAGUUUAUGAGGUUAGAGGUAAAAAAAUACUUUUUAAAUGUGUAUGACUCAAAUAUAUUCUGUGAAAAUUGUAUUUUUCACUGUAGCUUUUAAAUUUAAGUGCUGUUAAGAACAAGAAACAAAAUAGAUAAAUUUUAUGUUCAAUAUAUCUCAAUUUUGUCUUCUCUACAUAAUUGUUGGUAAUAUUUUUUCUAUGCUGAGAUUUCUUUCUUUCCCUCUUUCUUCCUGUUUUCUGCCAGAAGUGGCAUAUGAGAAACAUCAUUUUCAUCUUGCACUGAAGAACGUGAAAUGAAGCCAGUGCAAACCCUACUUCUCUAGAAGGUUCUAGUUCACUAUAGAGGUUUUUUCAGGAGCCUGGCAGAACUAUCACUCUCUCUAGGUACAGAUAUCUUUGCUCAGUGCUAGAACUUUCAUCUUUUCUGAAUAAAAGUCCAUGUAUCAGGACAUAAAGAAGCAGUAUGUACAGACACUGCACAUCAGUGGAAAUUACCUACUUAAAGUAAAAUAUAGUAGGUCAUCUGUGGUAAUAUUGAACACUGAUGGAACACACCCUACAAUGUACUGAUGUGUAUCUUUGUCGUGCAUAACUAUGACUAUUUGGUACUCACAGGGAAGCCAAACACAGGGAAUAGCCAUCCCUUCACUAACUACUGAGAGUUAAAUGAAAUGAUUAAUACUUAACAAAACAGUUCCAUAGAUAGGUACACCUGGCAUAGAGAGUAGAUAGGUAAGUUUUUAGCAUGAACAUUUAAAGAACUUGAAGUGGUCAUUGGAACAAACUCACAUACGCGCUACUAUGGCUUCUGUUUGAAAAGUUAGCUGUCAGUAUGGCUUAACAUCAAAGGAAAUAGCUUUUCAACAGUUGUCAAGCAUCACAGACUCUGAAUAUUGUUGAUGUUCUUGAUAUUUUCAGUCUGGCUCUAGACAUUACUCUGUUCAUAUUUUAGUCACCUUGGAGAGAUGAAUGAAUUUCAGUUAUCCAUCUGGUAGUGGCCUCAUCUACUGCAUCACAGUUACAGCUGCUACUGUCUUGUACACUGUGAAUGAAUCGACAACAGUCCUGGAGUAGUAUUUUUCCUCGGAUGACUGUAAGGGGUAAGGGAAGAACUGCUUCCUUUCCUGAAGAAGGGUAAUAUAGCACGUUGUUGCCUUCCCGUUAUAGAAAGCAUUUCAGGAAGCUGAUGACAUCCAACUGUAUAUGCCUACGAUUAUGUCAACAGAGAUGCUUUAACUAAAAGAAUGUUUCCCAGUAGUCAUCAGCCUUCAGCACUCCUACUUCCCAAGCUGCUAUCAGAUAUGAACACUAUAGCAGCAAUUGAAUUUGCUUUUUACGAUCAGUGCAAGGCCUUUAUUGCUGUAGACAGACUGCUGCUGGCAUUAUCAUAUUUUUUCUUAUUUCAAGAUUAGAUUAAUGCAAUAAAACUUCACCUUUAAAAAUAAGCUGCCGGAGAAUACUACAGUUUAUAUGACAUGAGAAAGACUACCUAGAUAAAAUGCAGGAAUUAAAGAUAAGGACCUCUACUCGUGUUCAGACAGAAACUAAUGAGUUAUGUAGUUACCCGAAGAACCUUGACAAGUCAUAGGACCUGUUCAGUGUCCAACAAACAAACUAAAACAACAACAAACAUGCCUGCCCCCACCACUACUAUACAAUCUCCCUCCCAACCCACAAGCCCUAUUUACCCAGCCCUGCCCCCUCUCUAUUUCUUCCCUCCUGGGAAACUCCAAAGUUCAAUCCAAAGCAGGAGUAUUUCUGCUUCCUCGGUAGAUGAGGUUGCAGGCAGGCCAGUCUUCUUGGGAGCUAUACCUUCACUUAGCUCUUGAAGCAGAACUAAUUCAACCUUCAUCUCCGAUGCAUUCUUAAUCCCCCUUUCCUGGUAGUGUAGGAAGGUGGAGGAAGAUAGAACACAAGGUAUGCAGAAAGGCUUUUAUGUAGAUUUUCUGUUUUUGCAGGAUAGUUGAUGAAGAAAGAUGUCAUACUGAUUUACUUAUUUAAAACUAAUGGUGCGUUAUCUACAUUUUGUCACAGCAUUCAGCUUUUCCAAGGGCAUUCUUCCAAUGAUUUAAAUUCAGACUUCAGGCACUCAUGACAAAAUAAAAGAUGAGAGGUAUUCCCUAAGUCAUUUAUCCUUAAUUACGCAGGCAGCCUCAGCAUGUAGCUCUGCCUCCAUUUUUGUACCGUUCAGAUUAGAAAAACAAUUCAGAUUAAGGCAUGGCAAAGCAGAGCUUGAAUUUGCAUUGAAAUGCACGAGUGAGUCCAGUAACUGCUGGUGUGCAACAUCUUAUUCACCAGUAAAUAAAUGGAAAAUAGCUUAGUAUAAGAUGUAUUGUUCUGAGUAGGCAAGACAACGGACAUUUAUUUCAUAUCUCCUGUUGGUAUUUCUUACCUUAUAUUGUGUGCUCGCUUCAUCUGCUCAUAUCCAAGCAGUGGAAGCACUUUAUGUGCAGGAAGCAAUAAUGAAGCGGUAUGGGACAGCUGUACCGAAUCUUCUGAAAAAAAAAAGUCUCCAUAUGCUAUUUUUAGUGUCAGAAUUGGUAGUCCAAAAUAAUCCCUCUGACAUUAUCUAAGUUCACCUAAUUGUAAGACACAGCCUGCAGUCUGACACAGGCGGCCUCAAUCAGAUCAGAGCAUUCAGUGAGCAGUUUUCCCACUCGCUGGUCAAAAACUAGCAGAUCAAUGAAGGGCUAUAAAAAUGCACCACCCUUCAGGCUGGUCCGUAAUAAGCAGAAGAGGACGACAGUUUAGGUCGGCACGUAAGGUUUGGUUUUGCUCAUCGGGCUUUUAAAACAAGAGAGGAAUGGAGCAAACACAACCUUGUUAUUAAAUGGAAGCAGCACUGUGUCACCAUCCAUAGCCACGCUGCAGGGUGCUGCAACAGAGGGACCAGCGACCCACGUUUAAAGAAAGCAAAACAAAACAGUAGCCUGCGAAGCUGCUACUCUCUUUGAUAAUAGAGGUGAUAACAAAAAAAAAAAAAAAAAACGACGGAAGCAAUAAAAGUCUUAUCUUACAAAAACCAUUAAAUUUUACUUUACAUAAAGCAAACCCGGAAGUGCAAUACAAAUUAUUGUGUCUGGAUAAAGAGUUGUACGUGUUUAAAUGAGAACGAUCCAACAGACGCUGGAAGGACAGCAGACACCCAAGGCACUCUCACUACGAUGGGAACUACGCUUUCUCUGCAUUCUCGCCCACGCUUUGUGUCGAGAAGCGGGACAGCAGCUCGGCAACACCCAGUAACGCCGCACACCAGUCAGGAAGGCAUCGCGGCGCUGCUUUCGGUGCUGGAAGCACUAUUCACCCUGACUUAACCCAGCGCUUUCAUCUUCUUCAAAUGCCGCGCAGCACGCGUGGAAAUAACAGGCGAAUUCUUUGGGAGUUCCAAGCGGUACGUCCGCUUUUACGCUCCUAGCAGAACCGACUGUUUCCAGCCAGCUAAACGAAGCGUGAAGCGGUUUUUACUGCGCUUUAUGACCGCUUACUGCACGCCGCCUCAUCGCCUCAGCGACGGCCUCGCAGGGAAGCGGCGCGCGAAGAGCCGCGCAGAGCCCCGCGUCC
rnacentral:lncRNA from 1 species